UUUACCUUGAGUAAAUUAGAGUGUUUAAAGCAGCCUUUAUGGGCUUUGAAUAUGAUUAGCAUGGGAUAAUGGAAUACGACUCCUAGUCGUAAAAUUGUUGGUUUCAACGAUGGUUUUAGGAGUAAUGAUUAAUAGGGACAGUUGGGGGUAUUUGUAUUUUGUUGUCAGAGGUGAAAUUCUAUGAUUAACGAAAGACAAACAUCUGCGAAAGCAUUUGCCAAGGAUGUUUUCAUUAAUCAAGAACGAAAGUUAGGGGAUCGAAGAUGAUUAGAUACCGUCGUAGUCCUAUACUAUAAACUAUGCCGACCAGGGAUUUGUGGGAAAGAAAGUCUUUUUAUCAUAGCGAUAUGAUGAGGGAUGAAAAGUUCGAGGCUCGUCAAGAACCUCUUGACCCCAUGAGCACCUUGUGAGAAAUCAUAAGUUUUUGGGUUCCGGGGGGAGUAUGGUCGCAAGGCUGAAACUUAAAGGAAUUGGCGGANGGGCACCACCAGGCGUGGAGCCUGCGGCUUAAUUUGACUCAACACGGAGAAACUUACCAGGCCAAGACAUUUGAAGGAUUGACAGAUUGAUAGCUCUCUCAUGAUUAAAUGGGUGGUGGUGCAUGGCCGUUCUUAGUUGGUGGACUUUGAUUUGUCUGGUUAAUUCCGANACGAACGAGACCUCANCUGCUAACANAGUUUAGAUUAUGAGGGGAGAAAUCUCA
rnacentral:rRNA from 1 species